GAACUACAAUUCCUUUUUGGCUUGCUAAUAUUAAUACCAGCAAUAUCUGUGUUAUUGUAGUUUUGAUAGUUAAAAGUCACAAAUGCAACUCUUAUAACUAAUUUGUCUUAUUUUCUUAUAGGUCGUUACAUGUCUUCGCCAACCAUCACAAGGACCAACAUUUGGAAUCAAGGGAGGUGCAGCAGGUGGCGGAUAUAGUCAAGUUAUUCCAAUGGAUGAGUUCAAUCUUCACUUAACAGGAGAUAUUCAUGCGAUAACGGCUGCAAACAACCUUUUGGCCGCGGCCAUUGAUGCACGAAUGUUUCAUGAAUCAACACAAAGUGAUAAAGCGCUUUUUAACCGUUUGUGUCCUGCUGACAAAGAAGGUAAAAGAAAAUUUAGUGCCAUCAUGUUCAGGCGUCUAGAAAAGCUUGGUAUCACCUGCACCAAACCUGAGGAUCUUACCCCAGAAGAAGUUACCAAGUUCGCCAGGCUUGAUAUAGACCCUGCAUCUAUCACAUGGAGGAGAGUUAUGGAUGUUAAUGACCGGUUUUUGAGGAAAAUUUCUGUUGGUCAGGGCCCUGAUGAGAAAGGCAUGGUGAGAGAAACAGCAUUUGAUAUAUCAGUUGCCAGUGAGAUAAUGGCAGUGUUAGCCCUUACCACCUCUUUAGCUGAUAUGAGAGAGAGGCUUGGUAAAAUGGUUGUUGGAAAUAGCAAGGCUGGUGACCCUGUUACUGCUGAUGAUCUUGGCCUUGGUGGUGCUUUGACUGUUCUAAUGAAAGAUGCCAUUAAUCCUACUUUGAUGCAGACUCUUGAAGGAACACCUGUUUUUGUUCAUGCUGGUCCUUUUGCAAAUAUUGCUCAUGGUAAUUCCUCUAUUAUAGCUGAUAAGAUUGCACUUAAACUGGUGGGGCCGGGUGGGUUUGUCAUUACUGAAGCAGGAUUUGGUUCUGAUAUUGGAACUGAGAAGUUUAUGAAUAUUAAAUGUCGCUAUAGUGGGUUAAAACCUCACUGCGCUAUUAUUGUGGCAACUAUAAGGGCACUCAAAAUGCAUGGUGGAGGGCCACAAGUUGUGGCCGGGAGGCCUUUGGACCAUGCUUACCUCACUGAGAAUGUGCCUCUUGUUGAGGCUGGAUGUGUAAAUCUAGCAAGGCAUAUAGCCAAUACAAAGGCAUACGGUGUAAAUGUUGUGGUAGCUGUAAAUAUGUUCUCAACUGAUACCGAAGCUGAAAUAAAUGCUGUUAGGUCUGCAUCAUUAGCAGCCGGAGCAUUUGAUGCUGUUCUUUGCACUCAUCAUGCCCAUGGUGGAAAAGGAGCGGUUAGUACUAUGCUUUUGUUAAUGCAGUUCUAAAAUGAACGUUUCCUUUAUUAUUUCCUACAACUCUGUUGGGCUGUGAAGUAUUUAAAAUGAACAUUUAAAACCUAACUGAUUAAUAUUAUUGUAUCAUCUUUAAAUUAAAUGCCUUGAAAGAAGCAACAACGCAAAGGUGGUGUUAUACUUGCAUGACACUACAGACAAAAGAAUAUUUAUAAAUUGGUUGAUGGCGCUUCUGAGGUUUUUAUAGUUAUUAACUUGUUUUGGUCCUUUAAUUCUAUUCGGUGGAUCCUGAAAAAACUCUUCAGAAAAGAUAGUCUCAAUUCUUCUAUAUCUUAAAUAUCAGUUACCCAGCUUGUGUUUAAAAUAAAAUAUUCAGUGGCUCUUUUCUGAGUUAUCCUNCUGUUAUCGGCUAUUGCCCAAAAUGUUACUCCCUCCGUCCCCCGAGUUAUAUACAUUAGGGGAUGGGGACGCGACACGGAUUUUAAUGCUCCCGUAAAUCAUAGUUAUAACUUAUUUUUUUUUUCUGUAUAAAAUUUUGAAUGUUAUAUUUCUAUUAAAAAAAAAAUUUAAAAAUAAGUUAUAGAACAAUGUUUUAUAAGAGUAUUGAAGUGCGUGUCGAGCAGUAUAUGAGACAGAGGGAGUACUAUUUAGCAGAAAAAUACUUUUAUUGUCGCUUCUAAAAAAUGGCCACAUAUGUCAUUUCAAAACGUAACUUCAUGGCGUGUUUACAAUAUCGAAUAAAAAUACAGCUUUAAGUUGUAUUUUUAGCUGAAAACACAACUCUAAGUCCAGUUUUUUCAAAAAAUCAAAACUUAAACUUUAAGUCAUGUCUUGAAGUGACAACUAAUACUAUUUUUUUUAAAAAUGACAUUAAAACUCAUAUUAAAACCCAUUUGUCUCAAGAAAAUGACUUUUCGAUUUAUUUUUUUUCACCCCCUCCGUCUCUCUUCCAACUGAGCAAAGCUAUGCUUAAAAAAGAGAGGUUAACUAAACAAAUGCCAUCUCCUCUUGGACAUGCUCUAAUAAAUACAAAAGAUAAAGUCCAUAAAUUCCAAAAAAAUGUAACCGAGAACAACUAUACAAUCUUGGAAUCUACCUCGAGCCUUUACUCUUUAGCAUACACAAACCACAGUUAUAAAAAUUAACCCUAAAUUAAAAUUCGAGGUUUUGUUAAAAAAUUAUGUACAACAUUAUGAGUCAAUCAAUGGUGCCUCACAUCACACUCACCAUAGAUAAGAUUUCUAACUUCAAGGUCUCCCUCAAUUAUUAUACUCAUUUCUUUUUAUGCUGUCUCUGUCUCAGCUCUCACCCACUCCCAAGCUCAUUUCUUUAUAAGCAUUUCAUUGGGUUUUAGCAGAUUCAUUGCAAGAAUUAAUUAAUACCACUCUCUCAAGAUUUUUGGGUUUUUCUUGUUUUUUAUUUUUUAUUUUUCAGUGGAGGGAGAGAGUGAAGAAGCCGCCUUCAAUUGGGCUACCAAAGAUGAGGAAAUUGGAAGUUGUUUCACCAGUGCCUGCUGAUAUAGAUAUUGCUAAUUCUGUUGCCCCUCUUCAUAUUUCUGAGAUUGCUAAGCAGCUUAAUCUUAGUCCUGAUCAUUAUGAUCUUUAUGGCAAGUAUAAAGCUAAGGUCAGUUUUAUCAGCCAGACUGGAAAGGAAUAAUUUUUUAAGUUUAUUUGUGUUUUUUGGCAACUGGGUCAUCAAGAUUUAGGUGUUUAGAGAGGUGGAUUGUUUUUUCUUUGUAAAAAAAUGUGUUUAGGACUUUAGGCAGAUGACAUAUUAAAAACACACACACACACACACAAGGAAGACUUUUUUGAGUUUGUUUGUAUCAUGUAAUCAAGAUUUGGAUAUUUGGGGUGAUAGAUUAGUUGUUCUUCAUGCUUAAAAUGUGUUUCUCACAUUCAUAUGACUAGUUCAUAGUAAAUUUGCAUGAUUUACUAGAUAAACAUAUAGUACGUAGUUUAAAUUUUACAUAUAUAUGUAUAAUUCACAGAUGCAAAUGAUACAUAUGCAAAAUGAAAUACACUGCGUAUAUGUAUUGCAUAAUUCCCUGUUUGUAGAGUUUGCAGGCUAAACAGGUUUGCGGUUUGUGUUAGAACAUAAGCCUACCUAUAUAUUCAUGCAUCUGUGUUUGAGCAUAAUGUGCUGCUUGCAGUUGAAGUUUUGUAUAUAUGAGUGUAGGUGUUGCUUCCUGUUAUUGAUGAACUCGAAGGAAGGGAAGAUGGGUAUUACGUAGUGGUUGGAGGGAUUACUCCAACUCCACUUGGAGAAGGGAAGUCAACUACCACUGUUGGUCUUUGUCAAGCUUUGGGAGCUUUUCUUGAUAAAAAGGUAAUCUUUUCUGUUGUUAAAUAGCGAGUUAAUAACAUAUGCAAUUUAUGUACUUCUGUUUCUUUGUAAUAUGUGAUUGCAACCAUAUAGCUUUUCUUCUUAUAUAAAUAUUUUGGCUGUGGCACUAAUGUUUUUCAGUAUCACACAUCUAAUAUUAGAUAUGCUGAAUGAACAUCUGGGGACAUUGUUAUAUGAAUUUAAGUCAAGAGACAGUGUGUGACCUCAUUUUAAAUUAGAAUUUUUUAGGUAUGUAAAUCAUUUGCAUACGCAGAUGGAGGCUUUGUUUCAAUACUAUCAUUUUGUGGCAAUGUGGACUCUGAUUUCCAUAAAUGGCAUAGGAAAGAGUCAGAUUAAGUGAAGGAAGAAAUAUGGGGAAAAGAGAGGAGAGAUGGUAGAGUGGACUGAUAUAUCUUGUUGUUGUCAAUUUUAAUGUUGCCCAUCUGUGCAAAAGAUUAAGUAGUAAAAAUAAUUGAAUUUAUUCACAACAAAAAUGACAUUACCCUCCUCCUUCAUACUCAUCUUUUCCAUCUACCUUAUAAUUUCUUCUUUCACAUAAUUUAUUCUCUCCCCAAGUCCAUUUUCCCAACAAAAAUGCAUCAAGAGAAUGAACUCUGCUUAGUCACUGCCUUUUAGCUUUCUUGUUUUUCUAGUCUAUAUGACUAAGAACUACAAUUCCUUUUUGGCUUGCUAAUAUUAAUACCAGCAAUAUCUGUGUUAUUGUAGUUUUGAUAGUUAAAAGUCACAAAUGCAACUCUUAUAACUAAUUUGUCUUAUUUUCUUAUAGGUCGUUACAUGUCUUCGCCAACCAUCACAAGGACCAACAUUUGGAAUCAAGGGAGGUGCAGCAGGUGGCGGAUAUAGUCAAGUUAUUCCAAUGGAUGAGUUCAAUCUUCACUUAACAGGAGAUAUUCAUGCGAUAACGGCUGCAAACAACCUUUUGGCCGCGGCCAUUGAUGCACGAAUGUUUCAUGAAUCAACACAAAGUGAUAAAGCGCUUUUUAACCGUUUGUGUCCUGCUGACAAAGAAGGUAAAAGAAAAUUUAGUGCCAUCAUGUUCAGGCGUCUAGAAAAGCUUGGUAUCAC
rnacentral:lncRNA from 1 species